rnacentral:rRNA from 1 species
UACGAAGGGGGGCUAGCGUUGCUCGGAAUACUGGGCGUAAAGCGCACGUAGGCGGAUAUUUAAGUCAGGGGGUGAAAUCCCCAGAGCUCAACUCUGGAACUGCCUUUGAUACUGGGUAUCUCGAGUAUGGAAGAGGUGAGUGGAAUUCCGAGUGUAGAGGUGAAAUUCGUAGAUAUUCGGAGGAACACCAGUGGCGAAGGCGGCUCACUGGUCCAUUAUUGACGCUGAGGUGCGAAAGCGUGGGGAGCAAACAGG